GCGGAUCUCUGUGAUUUCGAGACCAGCCUGGUCUACCAGAGCUAUUUCCAGAACAGCCUCCAAAGCCACAGAGAAACCCUGUCUCAAAAAACCAAAAAAAAAAGAGGCCCUUCAACACUAAGAAGACAAACACUCUUUGUUACCUGGAGGAAAUGGAAAUUCUUUGGAGAUGCAAAGACCCCACCCAGCUCUGUUUUAGUACUCACUAGCUGCCAAGCAAUAAGGGGUGUUGGUGGUGCAUGCCUUUAAUCCCAGUACUCAGGAGGCACAGGCAGAUGGAUCUCUGUGAGUCAAGGCCAGCAUGAUCUACAGAGCGAGUUCCAGGACAACCUCCAAAGCAAUACAGAGAAACCCUGUCUCGAAAAACAACAACAACAAAAAUCCAAGAACAAAC
rnacentral:lncRNA from 1 species